GAGGAGAAAGGUGGCCAACUUUGCUCAGGAAAAUUCCAAGAAAUGCCCAAAGUCCCUGGGAAAAACAGCUGCUGCUGAAAGCCAGAGGGAUGUAUUCAUCCGGUUGCUUAUUGCUGGGGGCCUGCUCCA